rnacentral:rRNA from 1 species
ACGCUAAAUGCUCGAAAGUGCGGGUAUCGAACAGGAUUAGAUACCCUGGUAGUCCGCACGGUAAACGAUGGAUGCCCGCUGUUGGCGAUAAUAGUGUCAGCGGCCAAGCGAAAGCGUUAAGCAUCCCCACCUGGGGAGUACGCCCGGCAACGGUGAAACUCAAAGGAAUUGACGGGGGCCCGCACAAGCGGAGGAACAUGUGGUUUAAUUCGAUGAUACGCGAGGAACCUUACCCGGGCUUGAACUGCAGCGGAAGGAUACAGAGAUGUUGACGCCCUUCGGGGCCGCUGUGGAGGUGCUGCAUGGUUGUCGUCAGCUCGUGCCGUGAGGUGUCGGCUUAAGUGCCAUAACGAGCGCAACCCCUUUCUUCAGUUGCCAUCAGGUCGAGCUGGGCACUCUGGAGACACUGCCACCGUAAGGUGUGAGGAAGGUGGGGAUGACGUCAAAUCAGCACGGCCCUUACGUCCGGGGCUACACACGUGUUACAAUGGGUGGUACAGAGAGUCGGUCGCAUGCAAAUGCGAUCCAAUCAUGAAAGCCAUCCUCAGUUCGGAUUGGGGUCUGCAACCCGACCCCAUGAAGCUGGAUUCGCUAGUAAUC